rnacentral:rRNA from 1 species
GGAUGAACGCUGGCGGCGUGCCUAAUCCAUGCAAGUCGAGCGAACAGACGAGGAGCUUGCUCCUCUGACGUUCGCGGCGGACGGGUGAGUAACACGUGGAUAACCUACCUAUAAGACUGGGAUAACUUCGGGAAACCGGAGCUAAUACCGGAUAAUAUAUUGAACCGCAUGGUUCAAUAGUGAAAGACGGUUUUGCUGUCACUUAUAGAUGGAUCCGCGCCGCAUUAGCGAGUUGGUAAGGUAACGGCUUACCAAGGCAACGAUGCGUAGCCGACCUGAGGGGGUGAUCGGCCACACUGGAACUGAGACACGGUCCAGACUCCUACGGGAGGCAGCAGUAGGGAAUCUUCCGCAAUGGGCGAAAGCUUGACGGAGCAACGCCGCGUGAGUGAUGAAGGUCUUCGGAUCGUAAAACUCUGUUAUUAGGGAAGAACAAAUGUGUAAGUAACUAUGCACGUCUUGACGGUACCUAAUCAGAAAGCCACGGCUAACUACGUG